GACGUAGGGUGCGAGCGUUGUCCGGAUUUAUUGGGCGUAAAGAGCUCGUAGGCGGCUUGUUACGUCGGCUGUGAAAACCCGCGGCUCAACCGCGGGCCUGCAGCCGAUACGGGCAGGCUAGAGUUCGGUAGGGGAGACUGGAAUUCCUGGUGUAGCGGUGAAAUGCGCAGAUAUCAGGAGGAACACCGUGGCGAAGGCGGUCUUCUGGCGAUACUGACGCUGAGACGACGAAGCGGUGGGAGCAAACAGG
rnacentral:rRNA from 1 species